GUGCUUUUAAACCUUAUCCCUUUAGACACACAAAUAUUCAAUGCCACCGUCUCAUAGGCAGGAUUUCAUAAGUGGUCACUGUGGUGUUGUGAAAAGUGACCAGAGUUAAGAAUCAAAGCCAGUCACAGUGGCACAUGCUGGUAAUCCCAGCAAUUUGGAAGGCUAAGGCAGGAGGAUCACAAGUUUAAAGUCAGCCUCAGCAACUUAGCCCCUGAGCAACUCAGCAAGACCCUGUCUUUAAAUACAAUAUACAAAAGGGCUGGGGAUGUGACUCAGUGAUUGAGUGCUCCUGGGUUCAAUCCCCAGUACCAAAAAAAAAAAAAAAAAAAAAGAAUCAAACAAAACUUAUUCUGUAAGUCUCUGGUACACUUCCAACUAGCUAUACAUUCAUGAGCCUCAGUUUCCUUAUCUGAUGGACUCAGGGACCAAGACCUGCCUUUCUUACCUCAGGGUUAGUGUACUGAUGACAACAGUCACCAGUCAAUAGUCAAGCAAGGGCUGGGGCUGUAGCUCAGUGGUACAGCGCUUGCCUUGCAUGCAGGAGACCUGGGUUUGAUCCCCAGCACCACAUAAAAAUAAAUGAAUAAAGAUAUUGUGUCCAUCUACAACUAAAAAAAUAUUUUUAAAAAAAUAGUCAAGCAAGUUAGCAAUUGCAGGUACUAACAGGAUACCCUGGGGAAGCAUAUGGCACUUUUACCCCCACUUUAUAGCACUUGGAGCAUGGGCUUACUAUGUAUAAAAAGCAUGGAGUUUAUAGAGUUCUUUUAUUUUUGCAUUUCUGGCAGAAAUUGUCAACUUAUAUCUGAUAUGUUUGAUGUCAGGUCCCUAAUCAGGAAUGUAACUCCAAAUUUGUAACUUUGUUCUCAUGAUAAAAAAUAUAAUGCAUUUUGCAGAAAC
rnacentral:tRNA from 1 species